GGGAUUGGGGAAUCAAGAUCGCUAACAAAAGUAUCAAUCAUAAAAUGUCAAUCCUUGGAGACUUUGCCAGAUUUGUCAGGAUGUGAGAAGUUACGAUAUGUAAGGGUAGUAACAUGUGACAAACUUACUCAACUUUGGGGACUUGAAAAGUUGGAUUUGACUCUUUUGGAAAUUUAUGGGUGCCAGCAUGUACCAGAAUUAUUUAAAACAUGCAACGGGAGAUAUGAAUAUGAAUAUGAAUGCUUUUGUAUUCCCGAGGUAAUUAAUUUGCAGUGAUAAUAAUGUGAUGAACUUUAUACCAAUAUUACAAGAGCAGGCUAGUCAUGUUUCCUUGACAGAGGUAAAUAAGCAGCAAACUACCAUUUUUCUUUGAGUUUCAUGACCUAUUUUUCAUCAUUAUCUUCUUUUGACAAUAAGGUUUUCCUUGACAGGGUUUUGUUCUUCCUAAGUUCCUAGACUUAAUAACUUGAAGGAAUGGUGGAGUUGGUCGUAGAAGCUGACAUGAUGCUUCAGCCAAGAUCAAAAUUUAGAUCCAAUGGUGCUUCCUCGUUCAUUAGAAGGCAUUGGUCAUUUGGUAAGAUUCUUCAUCCUUUAACUAGCAUGAGUGAAUAGAGUAAUACUUUUGUCAAGGAUAUAUCCUUUAAGAAUUAUUUGCUUGACACU
rnacentral:lncRNA from 1 species